UGACUGACUGGAAUUUUCCAGAAGCCAAGGAAACGGUUGUUCCACUCGCUGUGUUAUAGUUGUGUUGUAGAAAGACGUGGUCAAGCUCGGAAAGUUAUCAAACCAGAGACUUUAUUUUCAACACUUUUUAAAACAUUUUGCUUGUUGCUUCGUAAAAGUUGACUGGACUGCACAGUGUGCUGGUUUAUAUCGUUGUCACUUUAUAAACGGGUUCAACUCAAGCGACCGACCGCCAUCUGCUUGUGGAAGACAAUGACCAAGAGAGACGAGUGCGAUCCAAUGGCCCACAGUUGUGAUAAGAGUAGCCCUUCAUCCCACUGCUCCAGUUCUGAAAGUAGCCCCUCCUCGACUUCUGGCAGGAACAAGGGACAACACAGGUCUUCAUCAUGCAGCAGUGGUUCCUCCUCUCGUUCCAGGUCCCGCUCGCAUCCUCGUUGCCAUAGACAUUCCCACUGUCGCGGCCAUCGAAAGUACAGUCGUGACCGCCGCCAUCUAUCACGCAGCCACAGGGCACACUCUCGAUCCUACAGCCGCUCACCCUCGCCGGACAGGUACCGCAGACACUCCAGCUCCAGGUCUCACCACAGGUAUUCGUUUGGUUGGAAAAAGAACAGCACCACUCAGAAGCAAUUUGACAGGUUUUCAAAAUCGACAUCCACAUCCUACAGCAGCCCUUCAGCAUCCUCAGGAAGCUUGAGCUUGGAAGAUAAAAGAGAACUACUAAAAACGGCAAAGGUCGCCAUAAAGCAGCAGAGAGCAGAGAAACUGGAACUUCCUGAGCGUGUUAAACCAAUCCUGCCAGAGGAGCCAGAUUGGGGGGAACCCUUUACAGGGCCAUGGGUGAGACCACUCCCUGAAAAGAUGUGGUCACAGGUGGGUGUCUGCCUUACUCCUAUUAACACAUCACACUACUAAGAUUAGGUAUGGUCAGAGUCCAGUAAGUACCAUUCCGAAAGCAAGUUGUUUGCAGUAAAUCAGCAAUACAUCACAGUAGAGAAAAUAUGCUAACAAACAUGAAUGAAGUAAGUGUACCGUAUUUUCCGGACUAGAAGCUGCUACUAUUUUCCUACGCUUUGAAUCUUGCGCCUUAUAAAAGGUGUGGCUAAUUCAUGAAUUUUUCUACGCUAACAGCCAUAAUGUUUUGUAUUCAACAAAUCAUUUUCAUAGAACACCAACAGACACUGAAAAGUGUUAGUUUGUUCUGUGGUGCCAUCUUUUGGGCGAGUUUGCACACUACAGUGUUUCCUUCUGGUUAGUGCUUUGAACUGGAAGUAGAAGUGUCAUUCCAUCUUCUAGUCAUCCAUCUCUACUUGUAUGGUAUCUUCAUGACUCCAAGCAAGGUUUUUAAGUCUUCACCGGUACUAAACCGUCCUAUGUGUGAUGUCUGUAGGAAUGUUUUCGUGCAUAUUAGAAUGUGUGUGUAAUCAAGUUAGCGUCGUUAGCAUUAAUGUGCUAAACUGUUUACAAGUAUUUUGUGUUAGUACAUUAACCUAUUUACUUACACUGGCAUCCUGUUUGUAUUGUUCCAGUUUCACAAAUUCCUCAGUAAAUUCACAAAAAUGUCACUGUAGAGUUAUUGUCUGCUAAGAUGAUUAGAAAGCUAGUGUCCGCAGCCAGUGAUUCCCGGGCGCGGCCACCGCUGCUGCUCACUGCUCCCCUCACCUCCCAGGGGGUGAGGCUGAUGGGUCAAAUGCAGAGGAUAAUCUCACCACACCUAGUGUGUGUGUGACAAUCAUUGGUACUUUUUUUUUAACUUUAGUGGGUUCAUUAUGAUGACUUUUGUCUUGUGUUACAGAUACUGUUAGGAAACAAUUAACGUCUUUCUGUGAAAAUGACUAAAUUCACGUAGAUAUCUGCGGCUAAUAUAUGGAAACUACUGUUUACUUCUAAAAUUUUGUGGGUCCGGCUUAUAUACCAGUGCGCUCUAUAGUCUGGAAAAUACGGUAUAUCAUGUGCAACAUAUAUAAUAUCCUUGAUUAUGUGGGUAAUUUGACUCAUGUGCUUUGGCAUCAAUAUUUGAAAAAAUAGUAAUAUCCAACUGAUACUCAAAUGGAGACACAAUAUGAACCCAAAAUAUUCAAUACGUGUUGUGUGAUGUAUUUCCUGUGUCUUGUGUUGACCUUUUGGAACCCUGAGGGAAUGCACAUACUCUCUGUAUUUAUUCCUGUCUUCAUAGAUAACAUGACAGUGGUCUCCUUCACUCACCGGCACCUGGGAUUAAAAGGCUGUCAUGUGACUCUGGUGAAGACAAUAAGUUUGCGUGAAAGGUUGACUAAUGAUUGCACACAAUGCGUUCUUCACACUGUACUUGGAUGAACACCCAUGUAAAUGAUACACAUAGCAAUAUGUCUACAAUAAAUACACAAGCUAUUUGGAGGAGUGUUCUAGCACUCCGUGCUAUAUUGACAUGACAAAUGUAUCUAUGGUUUGCAGUUGAAAUGGGUCGUCGUUAUUUAGCAGAAUCCACCACUCGCUGAUGGAGUGCGGGCGUGUGCUAUAUAGUGAGUCAAGAACUAAAACCUGAUGAAGAAGUGGUCUCCAUAUGCCAAAGAUAAGUUGGUACAUGAGGCGCCUGCCGAAGACAACAAACAAUGAAGUAGAACCAACCACGGCCACCCUGAAGCUUUCCCCCAAAACCAAAACCAUCACUUUUAACAUCAAUAACUGUGUUGCAAAGCCAACAGUGACAUCGCCAUCGAGCGCCAGUGUAACUGCCAACGUCGACAGCU